CAGAAUCACAACUAUGCAGUUGAUCCUGCUUCACUUCCUGAGGGUGUAGAAGUGACUCAUAUCAAUCUAAAUGAUGGAAGCUGUGCUGGUCUUGCUUAUCCUCAACUAAACAUCAUGUCUCUUCAAUACCAUCCUGAGGCAUCCCCCGGGCCUCAUGAUUCAGAUACUGUUUUUGGAGAAUUUGUAGAGCUAAUGAAACAAGCCAAACAAAAGGCUUAGGCAAAAUCUGCAAAUAUUGACGAUUGAAGUUCUAUGCUACUGUGAUAUUUUAGAUGGCAGUGCUUGUGAUGGGCGUUGCUCCUCAUUCCAGUUCACCUCAAAUGUUUACAGAUUAAAGUAAUCAGGGGUCUCAUUAUCAUAAUUUCAAUUUUUUUUUCUUAAUAUUUGAGAACAUUUAUAUGUUUGCUUCAUUGUCC
rnacentral:misc_RNA from 1 species